GACGAACGCUGGCGGCGUGCUUAACACAUGCAAGUCGAACGGAAAGGCCCUGCUUUUGUGGGGUGCCCGAGUGGCGAACGGGUGAGUAACACGUGAGUAACCUGCCCUUGACUUUGGGAUAACUUCAGGAAACUGGGGCUAAUACCGGAUAGGAGCUCCUGCUGCAUGGUGGGGGUUGGAAAGUUUCGGCGGUUGGGGAUGGACUCGCGGCUUAUCAGCUUGUUGGUGGGGUAGUGGCUUACCAAGGCUUUGACGGGUAGCCGGCCUGAGAGGGUGACCGGCCACAUUGGGACUGAGAUACGGCCCAGACUCCUACGGGAGGCAGCAGUGGGGAAUAUUGCACAAUGGGCGGAAGCCUGAUGCAGCAACGCCGCGUGCGGGAUGACGGCCUUCGGGUUGUAAACCGCUUUCGCCUGUGUCGAAGCGUGAGUGACGGUAAUGGGUAAAGAAGCACCGGCUAACUACGUG
rnacentral:rRNA from 1 species